rnacentral:tRNA from 1 species
GCCUCGGUAGUGUAAGGGAUGUUAGAGCACGGUCCUCGGAAAGGACAAAUGCGGGUUUGAGUCCCGUCCGAGACU